rnacentral:rRNA from 1 species
CAGUCGCCGCGGUAAAACGUAGGUCCCGAGCGUUGUCCGGAUUUAUUGGGCGUAAAGCGAGCGCAGGCGGUUAGAUAAGUCUGAAGUUAAAGGCUGUGGCUUAACCAUAGUACGCUUUGGAAACUGUUUAACUUGAGUGCAAGAGGGGAGAGUGGAAUUCCAUGUGUAGCGGUGAAAUGCGUAGAUAUAUGGAGGAACACCGGUGGCGAAAGCGGCUCUCUGGCUUGUAACUGACGCUGAGGCUCGAAAGCGUGGGGAGCAAACAGGAUUAGAUACCCCUGUAGUCCCUGUCUCUUAUACC